rnacentral:rRNA from 1 species
AGCGUACACGGUGGAUGCCCUGGCAGUCAGAGGCGAUGAAGGACGUGCUAAUCUGCGAUAAGCGUCGGUAAGGUGAUAUGAACCGUUAUAACCGGCGAUUUCCGAAUGGGGAAACCCAGUGUGAUUCGUCACACUAUCAUUAACUGAAUCCAUAGGUUAAUGAGGCGAACCGGGGGAACUGAAACAUCUAAGUACCCCGAGGAAAAGAAAUCAACCGAGAUUCCCCCAGUAGCGGCGAGCGAACGGGGAGCAGCCCAGAGCCUGAAUCAGUGUGUGUGUUAGUGGAAGCGUCUGGAAAGGCGCGCGAUACAGGGUGACAGCCCCGUACACAAAAAUGCACAUACUGUGAGCUCGAUGAGUAGGGCGGGACACGUGGUAUCCUGUCUGAAUAUGGGGGGACCAUCCUCCAAGGCUAAAUACUCCUGACUGACCGAUAGUGAACCAGUACCGUGAGGGAAAGGCGAAAAGAACCCCGGCGAGGGGAGUGAAAAAGAACCUGAAACCGUGUACGUACAAGCAGUGGGAGCACGCUUAGGCGUGUGACUGCGUACCUUUUGUAUAAUGGGUCAGCGACUUAUAUUCUGUAGCAAGGUUAACCGAAUAGGGGAGCCGAAGGGAAACCGAGUCUUAACUGGGCGUUAAGUUGCAGGGUAUAGACCCGAAACCCGGUGAUCUAGCCAUGGGCAGGUUGAAGGUUGGGUAACACUAACUGGAGGACCGAACCGACUAAUGUUGAAAAAUUAGCGGAUGACUUGUGGCUGGGGGUGAAAGGCCAAUCAAACCGGGAGAUAGCUGGUUCUCCCCGAAAGCUAUUUAGGUAGCGCCUCGUGAAUUCAUCUCCGGGGGUAGAGCACUGUUUCGGCAAGGGGGUCAUCCCGACUUACCAACCCGAUGCAAACUGCGAAUACCGGAGAAUGUUAUCACGGGAGACACACGGCGGGUGCUAACGUCCGUCGUGAAGAGGGAAACAACCCAGACCGCCAGCUAAGGUCCCAAAGUCAUGGUUAAGUGGGAAACGAUGUGGGAAGGCCCAGACAGCCAGGAUGUUGGCUUAGAAGCAGCCAUCAUUUAAAGAAAGCGUAAUAGCUCACUGGUCGAGUCGGCCUGCGCGGAAGAUGUAACGGGGCUAAACCAUGCACCGAAGCUGCGGCAGCGACGCUUAUGCGUUGUUGGGUAGGGGAGCGUUCUGUAAGCCUGCGAAGGUGUGCUGUGAGGCAUGCUGGAGGUAUCAGAAGUGCGAAUGCUGACAUAAGUAACGAUAAAGCGGGUGAAAAGCCCGCUCGCCGGAAGACCAAGGGUUCCUGUCCAACGUUAAUCGGGGCAGGGUGAGUCGACCCCUAAGGCGAGGCCGAAAGGCGUAGUCGAUGGGAAACAGGUUAAUAUUCCUGUACUUGGUGUUACUGCGAAGGGGGGACGGAGAAGGCUAUGUUGGCCGGGCGACGGUUGUCCCGGUUUAAGCGUGUAGGCUGGUUUUCCAGGCAAAUCCGGAAAAUCAAGGCUGAGGCGUGAUGACGAGGCACUACGGUGCUGAAGCAACAAAUGCCCUGCUUCCAGGAAAAGCCUCUAAGCAUCAGGUAACAUCAAAUCGUACCCCAAACCGACACAGGUGGUCAGGUAGAGAAUACCAAGGCGCUUGAGAGAACUCGGGUGAAGGAACUAGGCAAAAUGGUGCCGUAACUUCGGGAGAAGGCACGCUGAUAUGUAGGUGAAGUCCCUCGCGGAUGGAGCUGAAAUCAGUCGAAGAUACCAGCUGGCUGCAACUGUUUAUUAAAAACACAGCACUGUGCAAACACGAAAGUGGACGUAUACGGUGUGACGCCUGCCCGGUGCCGGAAGGUUAAUUGAUGGGGUUAGCGCAAGCGAAGCUCUUGAUCGAAGCCCCGGUAAACGGCGGCCGUAACUAUAACGGUCCUAAGGUAGCGAAAUUCCUUGUCGGGUAAGUUCCGACCUGCACGAAUGGCGUAAUGAUGGCCAGGCUGUCUCCACCCGAGACUCAGUGAAAUUGAACUCGCUGUGAAGAUGCAGUGUACCCGCGGCAAGACGGAAAGACCCCGUGAACCUUUACUAUAGCUUGACACUGAACAUUGAGCCUUGAUGUGUAGGAUAGGUGGGAGGCUUUGAAGUGUGGACGCCAGUCUGCAUGGAGCCGACCUUGAAAUACCACCCUUUAAUGUUUGAUGUUCUAACGUUGACCCGUGAUCCGGGUUGCGGACAGUGUCUGGUGGGUAGUUUGACUGGGGCGGUCUCCUCCUAAAGAGUAACGGAGGAGCACGAAGGUUGGCUAAUCCUGGUCGGACAUCAGGAGGUUAGUGCAAUGGCAUAAGCCAGCUUGACUGCGAGCGUGACGGCGCGAGCAGGUGCGAAAGCAGGUCAUAGUGAUCCGGUGGUUCUGAAUGGAAGGGCCAUCGCUCAACGGAUAAAAGGUACUCCGGGGAUAACAGGCUGAUACCGCCCAAGAGUUCAUAUCGACGGCGGUGUUUGGCACCUCGAUGUCGGCUCAUCACAUCCUGGGGCUGAAGUAGGUCCCAAGGGUAUGGCUGUUCGCCAUUUAAAGUGGUACGCGAGCUGGGUUUAGAACGUCGUGAGACAGUUCGGUCCCUAUCUGCCGUGGGCGCUGGAGAACUGAGGGGGGCUGCUCCUAGUACGAGAGGACCGGAGUGGACGCAUCACUGGUGUUCGGGUUGUCAUGCCAAUGGCACUGCCCGGUAGCUAAAUGCGGAAGAGAUAAGUGCUGAAAGCAUCUAAGCACGAAACUUGCCCCGAGAUGAGUUCUCCCUGACUCCUUGA